AAAAAUGGUUUGAUUUUAGUUAAGGAAUCAACAGUUCAACUAGAUUCUCUUAAUGGUAAAAGGAAAAAAAAAACGUAUUUUUUUCAAUCAUCAUCUUGAUUGCUCAUUUUUCCCAUUCAAUAACUGGAGUUGAACUAGAAUCUCCAACGAGCUUUUGUUAUUUUCUUGCUAUUUACUUCGUUUUGGUUUUGGAUUGGGGCUUGUGUGCAACAAAUAUGGAUGGACAUAGGUGAAAAUAAAGCAGAGAAAGAUAGAAUGUCAAUGGAAUUAGAAAGAGAGUGUUUGGAAGUGUACAGAAGAAAGGUUGAUGAGGCUGCAACCGCCAAAGCCCGCCUUCACCAGGUCGUUGGCGCCAACGAAGCCGAACCCUCGUAGCGACUCUUGGUGACCUAACCCUCAUUUUUCUAUAAGUAAAUGGUUUCAAUCAAAGAAGCCAUCAUUGUCAACUUUAUUAUGUGUUCUACCUAAUCUUAAUCAUGUUUUCUUGGCUUAAUUAAUAUUUCAUCCACUUCUUAGCUCUAUUAUUCUUCUCUUUCAAUAUACAGAUAAAAGAAGUACUUUGACUUAGAAACUAAAAUGGGCUAUAUAUAACCUCAGGCCAUGAACGACGACAACGAACACGGUUUAUCACACAGUGUUCCGCCUUUAAUGUUUCACCGGAAUCAUUGUUUUCUGUUAUGUUUAUCACCACCUGUCACCGACCGAUCGACGAUUGCAACUUAACUGACGGAGCUGUCGGAGACUGUAGAAAGAGAGGAUGAUUCGAAGUUACACUCGCUAAGCAAUAGUCAUGGAGUAUGCUGCUGGAGUAGAGCUUUUCGAGUGGAUAUGCCAUGCACGUAAAUUCAGUGAAACGAGGCAAGUUUAAUAAAUGGAAGCACAACUGAUUGGGGAUUAUAAUAGAUGGGAUAGAUAGAACCACAAGAUGGAAAAAAGACCAAUAUGGGGUACCAAGUAUCAAGAUUCUCGGUGUCAAUGGCAAUUUGGUAGUUUCUUAUAAUUCAAGGGUGGAGUUAAGAUUCAAGCACAAUAAUGGAGUUUGGGUUGAUUGGUGUACAGCUUGAAUAAAGUAUGCCACUGUUGACUCUGCUAGAUUUGUUGAAUCUGCUAGAUUUGUUGGAGAUUACCGAUGUAGGGUAAAGUUCUUGUACAAAUAAUCUUAACAUACUAAACAUACAAAUUGAAGGAAAACUCAAAAAGACAAGGUG